UACGUCGGGUGCAAGCGUUACUCGGAAUUACUGGGCGUAAAGCGUGCGCAGGCGGCUUUGCAAGACAGCUGUGAAAUCCCCGGGCUUAACCUGGGAACUGCAUUUGUGACUGCAUGGCUGGAGUGCGGCAGAGGGGGAUGGAAUUCCGCGUGUAGCAGUGAAAUGCGUAGAUAUGCGGAGGAACACCGAUGGCGAAGGCAAUCCCCUGGGCCUGCACUGACGCUCAUGCACGAAAGCGUGGGGAGCAAACAGG
rnacentral:rRNA from 1 species